CUGCUUACACAGUGGCAGUAUCAUAGGCAAUGAGGUCAAGCUGAGGUUUGAUUAUUGCUAGUUGAAAAUUUGUCCCUAUUCCUGCUCAUUUCACGUUCUUAAAGCACUAACGCAUUUGUCCUCCCAAAGGG
rnacentral:snRNA from 1 species